GAUGAAGAACGUAGCGAAAUGCGAUAAGUAAUGUGAAUUGCAGAAUUCAGUGAAUCAUCGAAUCUUUGAACGCACAUUCCGCCCAUUAGCAUUCUAGUGGGCAUGCCUGUUCGAGCGUCAUUUCAACCCUUAAGCCCUGUUGCUUAGCGUUGGGAGCCUACAGUACUGUAGCUCCCCAAAGUUAGUGGCGGAGUCGGUUUCACACUCUAGACGUAGUAAUUUUUUCUCGUCUGUAGUUGAGCCGGUCCCCUGCCGUAAAACACCCAAGUUAUCAAGGUUGACCUCGGAUCAGGUAGGAAUACCCGCUGAACUUAAGCAUAUCAAUAAGCGGAGGA
rnacentral:misc_RNA from 1 species